UGCCUCCUUUAAUCCUGUCCAUGGGCAGCUAUAUGAUGAUGAUGUGAUAUCUGGUGCUGCAACAGCCAUCUUGCAACCAUGAGGCAACAAGCUUGACUACAACAGCAGAGAUAGUGAACACACUGAGGUGAAAGAAUACAAGAUCUAAGGUUCAGUGACCUCACUUUGGAAACUUGAUGUGAGCCACACUGUAUUUACUCCCCAGAAACUGAUGGCAGAGUAGACGGACGUCAGCUCCUCUCCUGUGAGAACCCCACAAACUACAACUCACUGCACAACAACCAUCGACAGGAGAAUGUCGGAUCCCACCAAAAACAGAUACUUUGCCAACAAAGGUCCAUCUCGUCAAGGCUAUGGUUUUCCCAGUGGUCGU